rnacentral:misc_RNA from 1 species
GACAAGAAAAGAGAUCGCCAGAGAACAAGGUAAUGGAAUCAAGUUUCUCAAAGAUUUAUGCCAUAUGGUUACUGCCCGUUUUCCAUUUAAAUUGCGAGGUUCUGUUUUUUGGCUGCCAGUUGGCUGAGAAAGUUCUAUUUCCCCUUGAGUUUGAGACUCUGAUUCAUGGAUGACAUCGUCUGCCCACUCAUCACUCAACACGUUUUCAUGUGCCAAUAGUCUUAACCAAAUAGGCCCAGCAAGCCCGACAAUCAGGGGGCUGACGUUAAAUUUCUCCACCAGAGUC